CAAUAAACGUUUGCAAAUCAAUACUGUCAACAUUUAAAGACUUUCAAAACAAUAAACAAUACGAGGACGAAUUUGUUCCUGCAAAUGAGGAAUAAACAUGCCGUCAUUUGUAGUUUAGCAUUUCACUUCGAAAGAAAACCAGUUUGGAUC